CUGUCAGUGUCUGAGACACAUUUGAGAGGAAACGCUUUGAAUUUGUGUCCCACCCCUGUGAUUGGAGCUCAAUAUCAGAGCGUCUGUCAGUCCGACUGUAAAUCCAACAUCAGUGUCCUUCAGUUUCACUCAUUCCCAGUAAAGAUGAGGACACACACUCUGAUCAUCUGCUCUCUGCUGCUGCUGCUCAACGAGUGUAGAGGACAGAUCACCGUCACUCAGAGUCCCUCAAUGACAGCAGCUCAACCAGGACAAACUGUGAACAUCAACUGUAGAACCAGCACAGAUGUGUAUAAUGGUGGUUCUGAUGAUUUCUUAGCCUGGUACUUACAGAAACCUGGAGAAGCUCCUAAACUCCUGAUUUAUUGGGCCAACACCCUCCAGUCAGGAACUCCAUCUAGAUUCAGUGGCAGUGGAUCUAACAGUGAUUUCACUCUGACCAUCAGUGGAGUCCAGACUGAAGAUGCUGGACAUUAUUACUGUCAGAGUUUACACGAAAUAAACGAUGACUAUGUGUUCACACAGUGAUAAAGAGUCGUACAAAAACCUCCGUCAGUCAGAGUCACAGUGACUGAACUGAUACUGCAGCUGCUCAAAGGAGGAUCUGAAACAACAUCGUCACACAAACAUCUGAAAUAAAAUCAUCUAAAUUAAUCUGCCACUCUUAAUAAUUAUAGAGGUCAGAAAGAGAUUUUGUGCUCUUAUAGAUCAGUCACACGUUUGAGAUCUGACUGAUUUCAGUUGCCGCCUUUUAUUAAUAAUAGAUGUUAAUUUUCAUAAUUCUCCAUGGUUAUUUGAUUUGAGUAUCUCAUCCUAACAUGUCAUUUGUUCAC